UACGUAGGCAGCAAGCGUUGUUCGGAAUUACUGGGCGUAAAGAGUGUGUAGGCGGUGUUCUAAGUCUGUCGUGAAAUCCCCAGGCUUAACCUGGGAAGUGCGCGCGAAACUGACGAGCUUGAGUGCCGGAGAGGGUCGCGGAAUUCCCGGUGUAGAGGUGAAAUUCGUAGAUAUCGGGAGGAACACCGAGUGGCGAAGGCGGCGACCUGGACGGACACUGACGCUGAGACGCGAAAGCGUGGGGAGCAAACAGG
rnacentral:rRNA from 1 species